UGGGCGUUUGUGAAUGGCUUUUGGAGCUGGUUUGUGUUUAUGAUGCAGAUGGGGUUGAUGAUGGUGGUGUAGCAGUUUGUUAAGAUGGAACUCUCCUUGAUUCUGUUCUUGGCUAGAUUGGAAAACCAAUUAUAACAUGGACUAGGAAAAAAAUCAACCUGUCUAAGGGCUAUAGUUGAUUGGGUUUCAGCAACUUCUCAUGAAGACUUUGUGUUUGGCUCUUGAAAUUUUGUACUGAGGCAUAUAUUAUAUACUGUUAAGCAGUAUCUAGUAGGCACAGAUAUAAGCAACUAGUUUGUAGAACUUAAGAAGAGUAGUUUAUACCAUUUAUCAAAUACAUAGGAUAUGGAGAUGCUAGUUUCACCUCAAGGACAAAAGCACAAUAUUCAAGUUCAGGCUCGGAAAUUUUCACCUGGUGGUUCUAACAAAGAUCUUUCGCUUAUUGUGCGAGAAGGGUCCUUGG
rnacentral:misc_RNA from 1 species